GUUGAUAUAGCUCAGUCUGUAGAGCAUGAGAAUCUUAAUCUCAGGGCUGUGGGUUUGAGCCCCAUGAUGAGCA